ACUACGGGGGGCAACAGUGGGGAAUAUUGCACAAUGGGGGAAACCCUGAUGCAGCGACGCCGCGUGAGUGAAGAAGGAUUUCGGUACGUAAAGCUCUAUCAGCAGGGAAGAAAAUGACGGUACCUGACUAAGAAGCCACGGCUAACUACGUGCCAGCAGCCGCGGUAAUACGUAGGGGGCAAGCGUUAGCCGGAUUUACUGGGGGGAAAGGGAGCGUAGACGGCAGCGCAAGGCUGGAGUGAACUCCCAUGGCUUAACCAUGGACCUGCUUUGGAAACUGUGCAGCUGGAGUGCAGGAGAGGUAAGCGGAAUUCCUAGUGUAGCGGUGAAAUGCGUAGUUAUUAGGCGGAACACCAGUGGCGAAGGCGGCUUACUGGACUGUACCUGACGUUGAGGCUCGAAAGCGUGGGGAGCAAACAGGAUUAGAUACCCGUGUAGUC
rnacentral:rRNA from 1 species